rnacentral:rRNA from 1 species
AAGCGCUUGCAAUCAGUCUCGACGGCGUCCGUUCCCCUCGUCUUCUGACGGGGCCACUCGGGCGCCGCCGGGCCAGCAUCGGUUCCGACGGUCGUACAAAGGUGCCGGGAAUGUGGCUCCCCUCGGGGAGUGUUAUAGCCCGGUGCGUAAUGCGGCCAGCCGGGACCGAGGUCCGCGCUUCGGCUAGGAUGCUGGCGUAAUGGUUGUAAGCGG